rnacentral:tRNA from 1 species
AAGGAUUUAAGUUAUUUUAAACUAGAAACCUUCAAAGUUUCAAAAAAAGAAUGUCUCUUUAAGCCUUA